CCUACGGGAGGCAGCAGUGAGGAAUAUUGGUCAAUGGUCGGGAGACUGAACCAGCCAAGCCGCGUGAGGGAUGAAGGUACAGAGUAUCGUAAACCUCUUUUGUCAGGGAACAAAGGCGGGGACGCGUCCCCGGAUGAGUGUACCUGAAGAAAAAGCAUCGGCUAACUCCGUGCCAGCAGCCGCGGUAAUACGGAGGAUGCGAGCGUUAUCCGGAUUUAUUGGGUUUAAAGGGUGCGCAGGCGGUCUGUUAAGUCAGCGGUAAAAGCCCGGGGCUCAACCCCGGCCCGCCGUUGAAACUGGCAGUCUCGAGUUGGAGAGACGUAUGCGGAAUGCGCGGUGGAGCGGUGAAAUGCAUAGAUAUCGCGCAGAACUCCGAUUGCGAAGGCAGCAUGCCGGCGCCACACUGACGCUGAGGCACGAAAGCGUGGGUAUCGAACAGGAUUAGAUACCCGAGUAGUC
rnacentral:rRNA from 1 species